rnacentral:rRNA from 1 species
UACAGAGGUCUCAAGCGUUGUUCGGAUUCAUUGGGCGUAAAGGGCGCGUAGGUGGCGCGCUAAGUCGGGUGUGAAAUUUCGGAGCUUAACUCCGAAACUGCAUUCGAUACUGGCGUGCUUGAGGAUUGGAGAGGGGACUGGAAUUUACGGUGUAGCAGUGAAAUGCGUAGAUAUCGUAAGGAAGACCAGUGGCGAAGGCGGGGCUCUGGACAGUUCCUGACACUGAGACACGAAGGCCAGGGGAGCAAACGGG